UACGGGAGGCAGCAGGGGGGAAUAUUGCACAAUGGGCGAAAGCCUGAUGCAGCUAUGCCGCGUGUAUGAAGAAGGCCUUAGGGUUGUAAAGUACUUUCAUCGGGGAGGAAAAAACAAAACUAAUAAUUUUAUUUCUUGACGUUACCCGAAAAAGAAGCACCGGCUAACUCCGUGCCAGCAGCCGCGGUAAUACGGAGGGUGCUAGCGUUAAUCAGAAUUACUGGGCGUAAAGAGCACGUAGGUGGUUUUUUUAAAGUCAGAUGUGAAAUCCCUGGGCUUAACCUGGAACUGCAUUUUGAAACUGAAAUACUAGAGUAUCGUAGAGGGAGGUAGAAUUCUAGGUGUAGCGGUGAAAUGCGUAGAUAUCUGGAGGAAUACCUGUGGCGAAAGCGGCCUCCUAAACGAAUACUGACACUGAGGGUGCGAAAAGCGUGGGGAGCAAACAGGGAUUAGAUACC
rnacentral:rRNA from 1 species